UCCGUAGGUGAACCUGCGGAGGGAUCAUUACCGAGUUUACAACUCCCAAACCCAAUGUGAACGUUACCAAACUGUUGCCUCGGCGGGAUCUCUGCCCCGGGUGCGUCGCAGCCCCGGACCAAGGCGCCCGCCGGAGGACCAACCAAAACUCUUAUUGUAUACCCCCUCGCGGGUUUUUUACUAUCUGAGCCAUCUCGGCGCCCCUCGUGGGCGUUUCGAAAAUGAAUCAAAACUUUCAACAACGGAUCUCUUGGUUCUGGCAUCGAUGAAGAACGCAGCGAAAUGCGAUAAGUAAUGUGAAUUGCAGAAUUCAGUGAAUCAUCGAAUCUUUGAACGCACAUUGCGCCCGCCAGUAUUCUGGCGGGCAUGCCUGUCCGAGCGUCAUUUCAACCCUCGAACCCCUCCGGGGGGUCGGCGUUGGGGAUCGGCCCUUUACGGGGCCGGCCCCGAAAUACAGUGGCGGUCUCGCCGCAGCCUCUCCUGCGCAGUAGUUUGCACACUCGCAUCGGGAGCGCGGCGCGUCCACAGCCGUUAAACACCCCAAACUUCUGAAAUGUUGACCUCGGAUCAGGUAGGAAUACCCGCUGAACUUAAGCAUAUCAAUAAGCGGAGGA
rnacentral:rRNA from 2 species